ensembl:lncRNA
GACAUUUUCUGAUAAGUUCCAGAUAUUUAGUUUAUCUUUAAAUGUUAAAAAAUCUACAUUUUAUUGUGUUCACUAGUAAGAAUGAGAAAUGAUGUGUUACAUAAUUAAAACAUAAUAAUAAUAAAAGAGUGAAUCUGAAUGUUUGGGAAUGAAAUGGAUCCCCUGGAUUCCUCUGAGUUGUAACAGUUAUCCUGGAACCAUCACAUUCAAUAUGUCUGCAGCAAAGUGACGAAAUGUGUUGGUAUCAGGGGGUUGGCAUCAGGGGGUUGGCAUCAGGGGGGUUGGCAUCAGGGGUUGGCAUCAGGGGGUUGGCAUCAGGGGGUUGGUUCAUCAGGCUUCUUAACUCUAUAUUAGAGCUUCAUUUACCCAGAUCUCAGUCACUGUAAUAUUGUCUGUGCAUAUGCCUCCUACCUACACCCUCAUUAUACAAAAUACAUUUACAAGACAACCCACCUCCUCUCUAAUUACCUGGCUCCACCUGCACCUUUGUUUAAGAAACUCAAUAUUCUGUCUACUUAGGACAUUAAUGUACACCAAUUCGUACAAAUACUCAUACCUCGAAGACAGUUUACCUACACCCUUCAAUGGAUUCUUCUAGGUCCCAGUUUACCUAAACCCUUCAAUG